GACGAACGCUGGCGGCGUGCUUAACACAUGCAAGUCGAACGGAAAGGCUCCUGCUUUCUGGGGUACUCGAGUGGCGAACGGGUGAGUAACACGUGGGUGACCUGCCCUGCACUUCGGGAUAAGUUCGGGAAACUGGGUCUAAUACCGGAUAGGACCAUCUGCUGCAUGGCGGGGGUGGAAGAUUUUUCGGGGUGGGAUGUGCUCGCGGCGUAUCAGCUUGUUGGUGGGGUGAUGGCCUACCAAGGCGUCGACGGGUAGCCGGCCUGAGAGGGUGUCCGGCCACAUUGGGACUGAGAUACGGCCCAGACUCCUACGGGAGGCAGCAGUGGGGAAUAUUGCACAAUGGGCGGAAGCCUGAUGCAGCGACGCCGCGUGGGGGAUGACGGCCUUCGGGUUGUAAACCGCUUUCGCCAGGGACGAAGCGUAAGUGACGGUAAUUGGUAAAGAAGCACCGGCUAACUACGUG
rnacentral:rRNA from 1 species